GUGCUUGCUUUGGCAGCACAUAUACUAAAAUUGGAAGGAUACAGAGAAAAUUAGCAUGGCCCCUGCGCAAGGACAUGCAAAUUUGUGAAGUGUUUCAUUUCUUU